rnacentral:piRNA from 1 species
UGGACAUGAAGACUCAGAAGACAAGAGAC